UACGGCAACAUCAUAUUGAAACACCUGUUCCCAUAUGAUCAUCGAAGUUAAGCAACGUUGAGCUUGGUCAGUACCUAGAUGGAUAACUGCUUAAGAAUAGCAGAUGCUGUAAG